rnacentral:rRNA from 1 species
CCGAUGGCGACCGGCGCACGGGUGAGUAACACGUAUCCAACCUGCCGAUAACUCGGGGAUAGCCUUUCGAAAGAAAGAUUAAUAUCCGAUAGGAUAUCAAGGUCGCAUGAUCUUGAUAUUAAAGAAUUUCGGUUAUCGAUGGGGAUGCGUUCCAUUAGUUAGUUGGCGGGGUAACGGCCCACCAAGACGACGAUGGAUAGGGGUUCAGAGAGGAAGGUCCCCCACAUUGGAACUGAGACACGGUCCAAACUCCUACGGAAGGCAGCAG